CCUACGGGAGGCAGCAGUGGGGGAUAUUGCACAAUGGGGGGAACCCUGAUGCAGCGACGCCGCGUGGGUGAAGGAGCGUUUCGGCGCGUAAAGCCCUAUCGGCAGGGAAGAAGGAGGCGGGUACCUGACUAAGAAGCCCCGGCUAAAUACGUGCCAGCAGCCGCGGUAAUACGUAGGGGGCACGCGGUUUCCGGUUUUACUGGGUGUAAAGGGGGCGCAGACGGCAGGGCAAGCCAGGGGGGAAAGCCCGGGGCCCAACCCCGGGACAGCUCUUGGAACUGGGCGGCUGGAGUGCAGGAGGGGCAGGCGGAAUUCCUGGUGUAGCGGUGAAAUGCGUAGAUAUCAGGAGGAACACCGGUGGCGAAGGCGGCCUGCUGGACUGCGACUGACGUUGAGGCCCGAAAGCGUGGGGAGCAAACAGGAUUAGAUACCCCAGUAGUC
rnacentral:rRNA from 1 species